UACCCCCUGAAGUGUGCGCCAGUUGGCUGUUUUUACCCACAUCUUACUUUCUGGUGCCCGGGUUGAUGGCAUGAUGCCAGGCCUCCGCGAGAGCGACGGGGAAGGCUGAUUGAGGUUACAGGGUACCGACCUGCUGUACAUAGCGGGUGAAAAAAUGGCUGACAGCGGCACUUUGGGCUAUCC
rnacentral:other from 1 species